rnacentral:rRNA from 1 species
UAUUUCCCAAUGGGGGGAACCCUGAACCAGCCAAGUAGCGUGAAGGAUGACUGCCCUAUGGGUUGUAAACUUCUUUUAUAUGGGAAUAAAGUGCAGUAUGUAUACUGCUUUGCAUGUACCUUAUGAAUAAGGAUCGGCUAACUCCGUUCCAGCAGCCGCGGUAAUACGGAGGAUCCGAGCGUUAUCCGGAUUUAUUGGGUUUAAAGGGAGCGUAGGCGGGUUGUUAAGUCAGUUGUGAAAGUUUGCGGCUCAACCGUAAAAUUGCAGUUGAUACUGGCAUCCUUGAGUACAGUAGAGGUAGGCGGAAUUCGUGGUGUAGCGGUGAAAUGCUUAGAUAUCACGAAGAACUCCGAUUGCGAAGGCAGCCUGCUGGACUGUAACUGACGCUGAUGCUCGAAAGUGUGGGUAUCAAAC